rnacentral:rRNA from 1 species
UUCGGUCCUACGGGAGGCAGCAGUAAGGAAUAUUGGGCAAUGGGCGAGAGCCUGACCCAGCCAUGCCGCGUGCAGGAAGACGGCCCUAUGGGUUGUAAACUGCUUUUAUACGGGAAUAAUAACAGCUACGUGUAGCUGUAUGCAGGUACCGUACGAAUAAGCAUCGGCUAACUCCGUGCCAGCAGCCGCGGUAAUACGGAGGAUGCGAGCGUUAUCCGGAAUCAUUGGGUUUAAAGGGUGCGUAGGCGGACUAAUAAGUCAGUGGUGAAAUAUCCCGGCUCAACCGGGAGGCUGCCAUUGAUACUGUUAGUCUUGAGUGUAAGCGAAGUGGGCGGAAUGUGUCAUGUGGCGGUGAAAUGCAUAGAGAUGACACAGAACACCGAUAGCGAAGGCAGCUCACUAGUAUACAACUGACGCUGAGGCACGAAAGCGUGGGGAGCAAACAGGAUUAGAUACCCUGGUAGUCCACGCCGUAAACGAUGAUCACUAGCUGUAGGCGAUACACUGUCUGUGGCUAAGCGAAAGCAAUAAGUGAUCCACCUGGGGAGUACGUCGGCAACGAUGAAACUCAUAAGAAUUGACGGAAUUGA